GAUGAACGCUGGCGGCGUGCCUAAUACAUGAAAGUCGAGCGAACGGACGAGAAGCUUGCUUCUCUGAUGUUAGCGGCGGACGGGUGAGUAACACGUGGAUAGCCUACCUAUAAGACUGGGAUAACUUCGGGAAACCGGAGCUAAUACCGGAUAAUAUUUUGAACCGCAUGGUUCAAAAGUGAAAGACGGUCUUGCUGUCACUUAUAGAUGGAUCCGCGCUGCAUUAGCUAGUUGGUAAGGUAACGGCUUACCAAGGCAACGAUGCAUAGCCGACCUGAGAGGGUGAUCGGCCACACUGGAACUGAGACACGGUCCAGACUCCUACGGGAGGCAGCAGUAGGGAAUCUUCCGCAAUGGGCGAAAGCCUGACGGAGCAACGCCGCGUGAGUGAUGAAGGUCUUCGGAUCGUAAAACUCUGUUAUUAGGGAAGAACAUAUGUGUAAGUAACUGUGCACAUCUUGACGGUACCUAAUCAGAAAGCCACGGCUAACUACGUG
rnacentral:rRNA from 1 species